rnacentral:rRNA from 1 species
GACGAACGCUGGCGGCGUGCCUAAUACAUGCAAGUAGAACGCUGAAGGAGGAGCUUGCUUCUCUGGAUGAGUUGCGAACGGGUGAGUAACGCGUAGGUAACCUGCCUGGUAGCGGGGGAUAACUAUUGGAAACGAUAGCUCAUACCGCAUAAAAUUGAUUAUCGCAUGAUAAUCAAUUGAAAGGUGCAAUUGCAUCACUACCAGAUGGACCUGCGUUGUAUUAGCUAGUUGGUGGGGUAACGGCUCACCAAGGCGACGAUACAUAGCCGACCUGAGAGGGUGAUCGGCCACACUGGGACUGAGACACGGCCCAGACUCCUACGGGAGGCAGCAGUAGGGAAUCUUCGGCAAUGGACGGAAGUCUGACCGAGCAACGCCGCGUGAGUGAAGAAGGUUUUCGGAUCGUAAAGCUCUGUUGUAAGAGAAGAACGAGUGUGAGAGUGGAAAG